rnacentral:rRNA from 1 species
AACGAACGCUGGCGGCAGGCCUAAUACAUGCAAGUCGAACGGCUCUUCGGAGCAGUGGCGGACGGGUGAGUAACGCGUGGGAAUGUGCCCUUAGGUACGGAACAACACAGGGAAACUUGUGCUAAUACCGUAUGUGCCCUUCGGGGGAAAGAUUUAUCGCCUUUGGAGCAGCCCACGUUGGAUUAGCUAGUUGGUGAGGUAAAGGCUCACCAAGGCGACGAUCCAUAGCUGGUCUGAGAGGAUGACCAGCCACACUGGGACUGAGACACGGCCCAGACUCCUACGGGAGGCAGCAGUAGGGAAUCUUGCGCAAUGGGCGAAAGCUUGACGCAGCCAUGCCGCGUGUAUGAUGAAGGUCUUAGGAUUGUAAAAUACUUUCACCGGGGAAGAUAAUGACGGUACCCGGAGAAGAAGCCCCGGCUAACUUCGUGCCAGCCGCCGCAGUAAGAC